rnacentral:rRNA from 1 species
UACGUAGGGUGCAAGCGUUAAUCGGAAUUACUGGGCGUAAAGGGCGCAUAGGCGGCCAUCUAAGUCAGACGUGAAAUCCCCCGGCUUAACCUGGGAACUGCGUCUGAUACUGGAAGGCUUGAGUAUGGGAGAGGGAAGUGGAAUUUCCGGUGUAGCGGUGAAAUGCGUAGAUAUCGGAAGGAACAUCAGUGGCGAAAGCGACUUCCUGGACCAAUACUGACGCUCAUGUGCGAAAGCGUGGGGAGCAAACAGG